rnacentral:lncRNA from 1 species
CUAAAACGGAUGUUGGCCUGCCAGGGAGCAGCCAAGGUGAAGUUUUCAACCAGGCCGACUGACUUCGGAGUCCACAGGCUUCAAGACAGUGCUUUACAUCCUCCUUCCAACAUUAUUCACAAGCCGAUCAAGACUGAGAAAGUCACAAGUGUGUGAAACCUGCAUUCUUUCUGACUUCAUUUUCCCUGGUCGAAAUUUUUGUAGACUAGACAAAUCAAGGAUGAUGACUUCUUAAGAUGCAGUAUUCAAGUUCAGAAAUCUAUACUCAGAUGACCUUGUGUAGGUCAUCUGCUUCUGAGGUUUAUCUCACCAGUGAGAGUUGAAAACAUAUCCUCUACAUAUAUUAAACUAGGAUGCAUAAGAGGGUUGAUAAAAUGGAAUUCAGGUGAACAUUUUAUGUGAAGAACUGCAGUAAUGAAUUCUGAAUUUGUUCAAAUCAUUGAAGAUGUGUGAAGGCAAAACAUUCACUCAAAUCUCUAUCAUGUUAGCAUGUUAUUUAUCAUUGCUCUGUUCUUCAUUGUUGAAUAAUGCAGUUGAGUUAAAAAGAAUAAACAUUAUUUACCGAAGACUCAUA